AAAAACAUGAAAUGUAACAGGCCAAGCUUUCUUCAGCUGGGGUAAAUCAGCAUUUCUCCCUUAAACUCUCUGGAACUGUGCCUAUUUAUAUCUAAGAAUCUAGACAGUUAUCUGAGCUUGCCAGCUCAAUGUAGGGAGAAACAUAGCUUUAACCAAUUAAAUGUUCGUUAGAGGCAAGACAGAAAGGAUAGAAAAAGGAUAGAAAAACUCAGAACCAGUGAGCACUUAUGCUCUUGUUCUUUUACCAAAUGAAAUGUUAACAUUUUGCGGAAUGCCUUUUGCUGCAUGGGUAAAUGUAAACCCUACUGUCAAUACUGUUUUAGAGCUACUGGGGGGUUAUUUUACAAAUGGGUUUAGAGAUUUUUGGUGUACUGGUGUGUCAGUCUUCUUAGCAUAGCACAGUUUCGUCAGUAAAAAAGUGCCUUACUCUUAUCACUAAACCUACAAGAGUUAUAGAUGUGAUACUGAUACCUUAAUCUGUAAAACUGCUUCACUGUAGUUCCGAACUAACAUACCAUGGUACAAAAUCACAUAUACACAAGACCAAACCUGCAACCUACCUCUAACAUUAAUCUGACAGUGAACAACUGGAAAUCAGAAAAGGACAGGAACAGUUAGCCCAAGUGUAAUUUCCAUGAUAUGCCUUGUAAGCUGAAAUUUACCUCUGUAUAAAGAAAUAGCAAAGAGACAGCCAUGGUUCAGGAGUCUUAUUUAAAUUGCGGUCAGAUUCACUACCGUCUGGCCCUCCGCAGUCACCCUGGAUUCAUGCCCUGCUACUACAAAGAAUAUAAACCCAUCUGCGCACAAAGUGACAUUUACCCUUGCGUUGGUUUUAUCACUUGUGGUGUUCUCCCCUUGUGUUGGAACACCGCCAUUCUGACUCAUGCGGUUGUACUGGCAAACCUGGGCUUGCAUACGUUACAAACUGAUCUCGAGAGGAGUGUAAGAAGGUAUCUCAUAAUCUUGAAGCAAAACUCUUUCAAAAGAGGAAAAUGCUGCUUCCAGUAUACCGUUCUCCAGCUGAGCUGAGAGUGACUUCCCAAGAUAAGACCCUGCUGUUACUCAGCUUCUAAAUAAGGCUGUCAAAUAUCCUGAGCCUUGAGAGAAAUGAGAAACAUCUCAGUCUGUAAACAAUGGAACUAAUGGAACCUGGUUUCCUGAAGAUUUCUGUGGUAUGUACCAAUACUCCCUCACCUAAACCUGUCUCCCUAUUUCCUCCCUUCAUCACCAUGGCCAACAGCACUUAGGUAAAAAAUACCCUUAUAGCAUCUCCAAUGAUCUUUUCACUGCAAAGCCAGGCCA
rnacentral:lncRNA from 1 species